rnacentral:lncRNA from 1 species
AAAAUGUUGAAUAUUUGAAAUAGGAAGAAUGGAUAGAGCCCUAGUUGAUAGACGGCCGGCGCUUCAACUCUCUAAAAUCAGGUGAAAAUAAAUAAAUAUAUAUAUUUGAGUUUCCUUUCCAAUUUACAUCGUGGUGAUUAGUUUAACAUGAAACAUUCAACAAUGAGGAGUUCUCAACUUCAUUUUUACUGGUUUCUAACGUACCGUGGUGGAUGCUAGAGUUUGACUGUGAAAGGUCCUGAGGGAUGCUUGUUUAACUUGAACGCCCUUAAAAUUAAUCCAGGAUGUGAUAAAUAAUUCUAUCCGAUUGUGAUGAACAUUUGAGUGGCAUGGUCUGUGGUCGUAGCUGCUACAUUUUAAACAAUGUAUGGAAAUAGUUGCGUGAAUUGACUACUGAAGUCUGGUGGAAUGAUUUGUUAUAAUGAAAUAUAUUGUUUUCUGAAAAUAAAACUAUAGUCCGGUU